GGAAGCAGAAAAAUAAGCGACAACAGAGGCAAAAUGAUUUCUCUUUGGCGUUUUUACAAAGUAACGGAGCUGGGGCAGAAAAAAACGGUUUGAACUGCUUUUAGUUCGCGCCAAAACAUUUUAAGGUCUCUUUAAAACAUUGUGUUUGAGCGCCAUGCUAUUCGAACGAUCGACAGACAUUUUGUCAUGAAUUAGUCGAUUUCAACAAGCGAAAAAAUCGGCAGGAAACACUCGAUCGUUGUCAAAAUACGAUACAUACAUCAAGAAACAAC